GUAGGGAAUUUUCGGCAAUGGGCGAAAGCCUGACCGAGCAACGCCGCGUGAGUGAUGACGGUCUUCGGAUUGUAAAGCUCUGUUGCAGGGGAAGAACGGCCGGUGGAGAACCGGCGUGACGGUACCCUGCCAGAAAGCCACGGCUAACUACGUGCCAGCAGCCGCGGUAAUACGUAGGUGGCGCGCGUUAUCCGGAAUUAUUGGGCGUAAAGGGUGCGUAGGCGGUCGGUUAAGUUUCAGGUGAAAUGACAGGGCUUAACUCUGUCGUGCCUGGGAAACUGGCAGACUGGAGUACAGGAGAGGGCAGUGGAAUUCCAUGUGUAGCGGUAAAAUGCGUAGAUAUAUGGAGGAACACCGGUGGCGAAGGCGACUGCCUAGCCUGUAACUGACGCUGAAGCACGAAAGCGUGGGGAGCAAAUAGGAUUAGAUACCCGUGUAGUCC
rnacentral:rRNA from 1 species